rnacentral:rRNA from 1 species
UACGUAGGGUGCGAGCGUUGUCCGGAAUUAUUGGGCGUAAAGGGCUCGUAGGCGGUUUGUCGCGUCGGGAGUGAAAACACCGGGCUUAACUCGGUGCUUGCUUUCGAUACGGGCAGACUAGAGGCAUGCAGGGGGAGAACGGAAUUCCUGGUGUAGCGGUGAAAUGCGCAGAUAUCAGGAGGAACACCGGUGGCGAAGGCGGCUCUCUGGGACGGUACUGACGCUGAGACGCGAAAGCGUGGGGAGCAAACAGG